rnacentral:lncRNA from 1 species
CUCAAAUUUGUGGCUUACGUUGAAAUUUUUAUAUUUCUUUAUAUAUUUCGCGUAUUUGUAUUUCUUUCGUUUUCAACAAAAUUUCUUCAACUUACGUUCCGUCGAUUCCCUCGUCGUUUUUAAUUACUCGUUGUUACUUUUGCACGAAAGUUUGUGAUUUGAAUUUGCAACGAUGAAAGCAACGAAAUUGGAAUGACGUAUAGAAGUUCAAAGAAAAAGAGGAUGCAGCGAAAAAGUCGUAAGUUGUUCUUGGAGUGAAGAUCUUCGACCACGCCUCGAUCUUUCGAGCCGAUCACCUGGAGUCCCUCGAAGCGAGGAGCCGGUUCCGCAACGUGUUUUCUCGUUUCCGUCGCGCAUCACGAAAAGUCGCGCUGACGCAACUCGAGCGUUGCAAGGACAAAGGAAAAGGGAUAAUAUAUUUGUGCUGCACCAUGGAAAAAAAACGAUAACGAUGUAACAAACAUUCCGUGCAAAGGUAAAUAACAACAUUAAAAAAAAAUAUUAAAAACAAAGGAGAGUACAAUGAAAGCAAGCCUUAAAAGCUCUACACAAAUUUGAGUAAAAAAAAAAAAUCAAUAAAUGAACAUAAUGACAAUUAA